GUUUCUUCCAGGGAGAGUUCAUUCUUGUGAUCCUCCACUAACUCCUCCACAUCCUCUUCACUCACCUCCAAGCCCAUAGACUUGCCCAGAG